rnacentral:misc_RNA from 1 species
GAUGAAGAACGUAGCGAAAUGCGAUACUUGGUGUGAAUUGCAGAAUCCCGUGAACCAUCGAGUCUUUGAACGCAAGUUGCGCCCAAAGCCAUUAGGCCGAGGGCACGCCUGCCUGGGCGUCACACGUCGUUGCCCCCCCAUCUACUCCUUCGGGAUUGCGGGGGGCGGAUGAUGGCCUCCCGUGCGCCUCGCCGCGCGGUUGGCAUAAAUGCCAAGUCCUCGGCGACGCACGCCACGACAAUCGGUGGUUGCGAAACCUCGGUUGCCCGUCGUGUGCGGUCGUCGCGCAUCGAGGGCUCGAAAAAAUUGCCGGGUUCCGGCUCGGCUUUCAACGCGACCCCAGGUCAGGCGGGGUUACCCGCUGAAUUUAAGCAUAUCAAUAAGCGGAGGA